CCUGCGGGCGGACGCGGGGCGGGGACUGAGCGCGGGGGCGGGGCGGGGCUCGGCUCCGCCCUCAGCGCGCCGGGAACAAAGGCGCUCCAAGGGACGACCCCCGCCCACCGCCGCGCCUGCGCCCCGCGACCCGGGGCAGGCCGCAGAAGGCGGACUUAACACACCUCGGUCCUGCCGAGCUUUCCCCGCGCAGGCCUGACACAACGCGGGGUACAACCGCCCGUCACGCACGCAACCCCGCCCACAGGCUGCGGCCCGUCAGUCAGCUGCGCGCACGGGCCUCCGGCCCGCACCGGCCCCACUGCAGCGUGCGCGCCUCCCAGGGAGUGGAGGGUGCCGCGCGACCCCCGACCCUCCCGCCGAACCGGGUUACCUGGGCAGGCUGCCUGGCGGAGGGAGCCGCGCCAGGCUGGCCGCCUCACACCCGCGGUGGCGGCGGGGGCGGGCCCUCCGCGCACCCUCUCCGGGGAGGGGCGCACCCGUGGAUUGGCUAGCGGGCAGUGAGUGACAGCACGCCGCCACGCCCCCUCCCCACAGACGUCUUUUGCGAGGGCUGAGCAGACCGAUCCUAGAUUGGCCUUCGAGGGUGUCUUCUCGGGAAGAGGCCCUGCAGGUGUGGGCAGGCACCUCAGACCCUCGGACGCGGGCCCGGUGGCCUUCGAGGCCUCUCGCGUGGACCGCUGCCCUCCUCACGCUUCGUCCUCGCCCUACCUGCAUGCUGAUAGUCUCCGAAGCUCUGGUUUUAUCUUAGCCUUGUUUUCUUCUGGACUCAGUGCUGGGCCAGUUGCCUGGUGGCUUCACCUCUGCGCAGACAGGUGACGCCAAUCCUGGGUCUCCCCUGACCUCCCGACCCAGGCAUCUCACUAUCUGCGCCACAGCCUUCCCAUCCUCAUCACAUGGCUCCUUCCAGCAGCUACACCUUCUCUAUAUGGCAGCGAACCCCUGAGUUUAGAAGGCCCCACGCCUUGCCAGGAACCUUUGUUCUUUUCUGCCUCACUCCUAGAUAAUCCACUGAGGUUCUUCCCUCCUCGAGCCUUUGGGGCUCUCUCUAGUCUACCAACGAUCCUGAAGCCCCAUCUUCUCUCUGUACACUAUCCUCUUAGGUCUUGCCUGCAUCUGCUUCAGAAUUUACCAAUAAAAUGAAAUUCAAUCCUUUCAGUUAAGUACGUGAAUUCCCACUGUGCUUCAAAUCAGCACAGCUUCGUCGUUCCCCUUCCUCUCCCGCAUCAUCUCUCGCCACUGACUUUCCCUCAAUUCUCCACACAGGACACCUGUCUGUGACUGCUGAAUAACUUAAAAUCAAUCUUGCAAAAGCCGUUCCUCUGAACAGUACGGGCAAACCUGAGGGCAUCCCUUGAUCCUGCUGUCUGACCAGUGAUGAGCAGUUGGGCAGCUAUCAUGCAACUCUGGAUAGCUUAACUGCAUUUCAGAGGUUCAGAGCCCGACGACUUGAAGUGAGCUACAUAAUAAGUGGGGACCUGAAUCCGUGUGUUUCUGUUCCACAGGAGAGCCCACUGUGUGAGAGCACACAUCCCUACUGUGCCUUCUAGAGGAUCUGUUAGCAGGGCAGGAACACAUAAAGCCUGUUCCAGAAGUGGCCACAGAAAUGUCCACAGGCCGUGCUGUCUGACAAGGGCACAGGGAGCAAGAAGGCCCUGAUCUAGAUUCUUCCGUGGUUGUGGGGAGAGAACGAAGUGAGAGGUUCUGUGUGUUCAUGAAAUACAGCCUCCUCAAAUGAGGAAGGAGGAAGUGUUGCCUGUCUUCACAGGCCAGUGAAGUUCAAGCUUCAAGGAAGCAAGCGUUUCCUGCCGUGGUCCCAGCACCUGAGACCAUUAAGGAAGGUGGUUCUGAAUAGAACGCGUAUGCCAGCAAGCUCAGGUCUAGACCCUUCAGUCCGUGACCCAUUUGGACCUUCCUUUUAGCCAGGAGCUCACCUUUUCAUCUUGAAUUUCAGACUUAGGAUAACAGAAGGAACAUUGGUAGGGAUUAUGGCUACUUUGGGGUACCCAGAGCUCUGGGUUGGCUACAGUUAACAGUUAACUCCUUCGACCAAUCAAUAGUCUUCCUUCCAUCUGAGAGGCUUCUGAGAUCUGGUACUCAGUACAGACUGGAGGCUUCACCACAUAAGAAAGCUAUCCUGUUUCUGUUCAGUACAUGUGGAAAGCUCUCCACAAUUGUUUCCCAAAUAAACAGGCCGUCUUGUGCAAGCGCUACUGCCCACACUGGGCUUAGGCAGCUCUCGGAGGAUAACUGUACAUUUCCUGGCUUUCUGGGCCUAUCUUUAGGGAUGGAGCCUCUGCUACUCUUGAUUCCACAUCAGGACAGACGUACUUCCAGGUCAAGCCCCAUACCAUCUUCCCACUGGGAGGGACCAACCCUUGCUGACCUGAAUGAACAGACCGUGCACUGCACUAAAUCUCAGCCCCCGGCCUUUACUGUGGCCUGGGGCCUCAUUCACAAAGAGGCAGACGCUAUGUUUCCGUUAAGUUGUAGGAGUUUAUUUUAAAUAACCUACAGUUGAUUAAAAGGGAAUUCAUGAUAAAAAUAGAAGAUACUUGAGGAAAGAUGUGGGAAUGGACUCUGCACACACACUAAACUAACAAUGCCUCUAAAACUAAUGAUUAUAGCAAAAAAAAAGUCUUCACAUUAAAAUUUUCCUUUUUAUGGUUUUUUCCAUUUUUUACACAAUUACAAAAGAAAAAAAAAUAAAAGCCCUAAAAUCUUGAUUAUUUUUUCCUUUUUGUUUUGUUUUUGUUUUUGUUUUCCUUGGACCAAAUGCUCAUUUUCCUCUAAAUUUAUUGACCUGUGGAAGUUUUUAUACAAUAAAAUCUUUCAAAUGAAAGACUGGGGUUUCCAAAGAAAAAGAUGGAUUUCUUAAAGGGUACAAAGAAUGGUCAGAACAAAGGAUGAUGGGAAAAUGGUUUCAGUCACUGAUUAUUUCAUUAUCCUUAGACUCACUCGCCCUUCAUCCCUCCCCAACCCCAAGCUACACGAUCUUUAAGAUCAAGAAGAAGGCUUAAAUAUUUUAAAAUAAUUAAAACGAAAUAAAAAUUCACAUUUAAAAAGGAACACUCAAGUCAGGAAAUAUUUUCCCAUCAUGCUUUUCUGUGAAUAGGUGUCUGAACCAAAACACUGCCGAUGAUGCCACAACUGCUUCAAGUUUAAUGAAAACUGAUUCCCAUGACGGUGGAUGACAGCUGUAAUAGGUGCGCUGGGUUUUUGUUUUGUUCUACUUAAUUUUAAAUUCCUGAAAUUGGGGAGAGGAGGGAUUUUAGGAAUUCGUUUCUAUUAAAAUAUAGAAGUUAUUGCAAAACCCUAACUGUAAAAACGCACCAAUAUAAUCAGACUUCGCAUACAGUAGCUGAGAGAAUCCAAACAUUGCAGCAAAACUGAAUUUGCCUGGCAGGAUGCCAACAAAUUCCCAUCCACUUGCUCUCUUGAAAAUAAAAACAAAAUUCAAAACAAAUCAUACAGCUAGAAUUUUGACAUCUGAAAUAUUUUUAAAUAAGUUGUCCAUAGGACAACUGGCUCAGCUCUCCCUUAUAAUAUCUCCAGGUCUAUCUUUUUGCAAAGAUGUUGGUUUGUUAAGACUUGUGGCCUCUCCCUCCGGUGUGAGGGCAAGUGAGGCUCAGUUUAUCCAUCUUCCCCAAACCACACUGUUCCUUUCACAGAACCCCUGCCGAGACUGGUCAAAACUCGUAGUCCUCAUCAGUCAUAUCAAUGGCCCAAGCAAACUUCUCUCUCUGGGUUUUGUUGUAAAUCUUCUCGAUUGGGACCCCCCAUUUUUUGCACCUGCAAAAAAAAAAUAAACAAAUAAAUAUGGAUACAACAAAGGAGAUGAGUCUAUCUCAAUGACAACCCACAGCAGGGGUCGAGUUUUCUGGUGCGCCAAAAUAUUCAAAGGACUUUAGUAUUUUAUCAUCUCAUUUUUUUAAUCAACAGAGAUAUCUAAAGUAGGUGUUACUUUGAUAUACAAACAGAAAAGGUAGAAUUUGGUUAGGGAUUUAGCUCAGUGGUAGAGCACUUGCCUAGGAAGCGCAAGGCCCCGGGUUCGGUCCCCAGCUCCGAAAAAAAAAAAAAAAAAAAAAGAACCAAAAAAAAAAAAGAAAAGGUAGAAUUUGAACAACCACCCUGCAGAGAUGGUAAAAAGCAGUGUCCUCAUGCCACUAGAAAGUGCAGCUGCAAUUUCACACUACGCAGUUGUCUGAAGCCCACGUUGUUGCCUGCCUCCACACUGCUUCUCAACAGUUAGUCCAGGGAAUGGUGAGAUGCCUCUGUGGGUAGCCUGCUGUUGUUCAACUGGACACAGCUACAGUUAUCACAGAAAGAGAAUCUCAAUCUAGAAAAUGCCUCUAUCAGAUUGCCUGUGGUAGGUCAGUAGAGCAUUUUGACUACCUGAUGUGAGAAGUUCCAACCCAGCAAGCUCGUGAGCAGUAAGUAUUCCUUUGUGCUGGUCAGUUUCGUGUCCUGCCUCCAUGUCCCAUCUUAAAUGCCUACCCUGACUUGCCUCAGUGAUGGAGUGUGACCAGAGUUGUAAGCUGAAACAAACACCCAAAUUGCUUUUGGGUCAUGGUAUUUUAUCACACCAAUAGAAACCCUAACCAGAACAGCAAGCUUUGACACCAAGCUUGAAGACCAAAAUAUGAUCCUCAGGACCCACAUGAUGGAAGGAGAGAAUCUACCAACUGUUGCCAAACUAUCAGCAGAGCUCCUGGUGUCAGCACACACACACACACACACACACACACACACACACACACACACACACACACACACACACACACACACACACACACACA